UCCCUCAUAGCUCAGUUGGUAAAGAAUCUGCCUGCAAUGCAGGAGACCCGGGUUUGAUCCCUGGGUUGGGAA
rnacentral:tRNA from 1 species